rnacentral:tRNA from 2 species
GGGCGUAUAGCUCAGCUGGGAGAGCAUCUGCCUUACAAGCAGAGGGUCAUAGGUUCGAGCCCUAUUACGCCCACCA